rnacentral:rRNA from 1 species
UACUAGAGUAGCACUCGCAUAUCAAUAAGCGGAGGAAAAGAAACUAACAAGGAUUCCCCUAGUAACGGCGAGUGAAGCGGGAAGAGCUCAAAUUUGAAAUCUUAAAGGGUUUCCCUUUACGAAUUGUAGUUUAAAGAAGUGUUUUCUGUUGAGGUUUUGGUAAAAGUUCUUUGGAAUAGGACAUCAUAGAGGGUGAGAAUCCCGUAUUUGACCUUUACUUUCAACUUUGUGAUACACUUUCAAAGAGUCGGAUUGUUUGGGAAUGCAGUCCAAAAUGGGUGGUAAAUUUCAUCUAAAGCUAAAUAUUGGCGAGAGACCGAUAGCGAACAAGUACCGUGAGGGAAAGAUGAAAAGAACUUUGAAAAGAGAGUUAAACAGUACGUGAAAUUGUCAAAAGGGAAGCGUUUGACACCAGUGUUGUUUUUCUGAAAAUCAAUUAAAGAACUGUUUAUGCUAAGCUGUUUAGACUUUAUCAGCUAAUCUGUUUAGUUUUGAGCUUUUCUUUAAUGCACUUUUCAGUUAACAAGUCAACAUCAAUUUCUUUUGCUGUAAAAAAGCUUGAGGAAGGUGGCUUGAGAUUCGUCUUAAGUGUUUAUAGCCUCUUGCCUAUGCAGUCGGAGAGAUUGAGGUCUGCAGCGUAGAUCCUUCGGGGCUAAAUGCAUUUGUGCUAAGUUAUAGCAUUUUAUAGACAACUUGUUGACUAUGAUUUGUCUUGUAGCUUACUCGCUUAUGUUAUUUUACCUACGCUUAGGAUGUUGAAGACUCUACAGAGAUA